AUGGCUCAAGUGAAAAGCGAUCACGCACCAACAUCGGAAGUUGAAUCUUUCGAUCCUGAAUUGGCUGCCGGAAUCGCCGAACUGCUCACUCGCAUGGCUGUCGAAGAUGACGUCGGCAACCAGUACAUCGAUUUGGAAGAACUGCCGGCCGCGCUCAAACUCCAGGUGUCUCAGUAUUUGACGAAGCAGCAGGUGAUGGACGAGGAAAAGCAAUUCCAGGAGCAAUUGAAAUUGAAGCAAAAAGCAGAGAAGCUGAAAGCGCAAGGGACUAGUUUCGCCAGCCUUUUGAACAAGCAAAGUGACGGCCAAAUUGAUGACCUCUUGAGCAGUUUGCUGCAGGGAACUCUCGCAGAUUAUCCAACACCAACAGCCGGUUAUUAUCCUCAACGCUAUGCACCUUACGCCUACCCCCAAAGACCGGUCUAUUCUUCCGGAUAUCCCCUGUAUGGAUUUUACCCUCAAUACGGAGGGUACCACGGCAGUUUCAGACCUUAUUGCGGACUAGAAAGUUAUCCGUACGCCGCUCUGAAAGGCUACUACCCCUUCUCCAAUGGCAACCGACCCUACCGUCCGCAAAGUUCGUUGAUGAUUCGCGGACAAUUGCAGAAUUUGUACGGCGGAUCCGUCGGACCCAGUCCUUUGCCUUACCGCAUGGUUGACGUACCACCCGGCUAAUUAAAUAAGCAUUUUUAACGGCACGAGCGUCAUGCAUAUAAAUGACAGAAUGAACGGCCCAUUUAACGAAAAAGGAGAGAACCAGUCCAGCAGAUGGGUCACUGGCCGUUGCUUCAAACCAGUUUUCUUCUUUUCCUCGGAAAUGAAUUGUUAGUCACGAAACGUGACGCACGAUAUCAACAGUUAUAAUAACAACGCAAAACAAAUCAGGUUCUGAGCAACUGUCGUGACUCGAAUUUUGUCUUCUUCUUUUUCUUCUUCCUUAUCUGUUGGCCAUCCUUUUUUCUUCGCUUUUCGGUUGGGUUUUCCUUUCCUCCUCCUACUCCCGGCUCCGGCUCCUGCUGCAGUUCUAUACGUCAGUUGGGAACACAUUGGACUCAACCCAAAGUAUAAGACGCCAGAGAAUAACCGUGACAUUAAAGACGAAUCGAUUUGGAACAGCAAAACUCGCCAAUUGAGAGUCGAUUGUAUUGGAGCUUCUAAGGGACUUUUUAUCGGCCUCUUUUUCCUGACAGCUUCGUUCUCUGUCUCGUUUUAUUCUUCAUUUUUGUACCAAUUCCGCAAUUCAAACGACUGGGACUCAUCCUGGCGGCGCGGCUCAUUGCACUUUGCUUCUCGUCUCCAUUCUCGCCAUGGCUUUAGGGGCGUUGUGUUUCUGGUUAAUAAGACAACAGUCAGAUGUGGAGUUAAUGGUUGCCUCUUUAGAAAAGUAAUAAUCUGAUUUUGAGGAAGAAGACAGUCGGCAAAUGGUAGAAAAACUCGAUAUUCUGGAUAUAGGUAAGGCAAAUUCCAUAACUACUCUAUUAUAAAUGUUCGCACGAAUAUAUGCGUGACCUAGC
rnacentral:misc_RNA from 1 species